AGAGUUUGAUCAUGGCUCAGAAUCAACGCUGGCGGCGCGCUUAACACAUGCAAGUCGAACGGGAAAGUGGAGCAAUCCAUGAGUACAGUGGCGUACGGGUGAGUAACACGUGGGUGAUCUACCUUUUAGUGGGGAAUAACCCUGGGAAACCGGGGCUAAUACCGCAUAAGCCCGAGAGGGGAAAGUCGCAAGACGCUGAAAGAGGAGCCCGCGGCCGAUUAGCUAGUUGGCAGGGUAAGAGCCUACCAAGGCAGAGAUCGGUAGCCGGCCUGAGAGGGCACACGGCCACACUGGCACUGAAACACGGGCCAGACUCCUACGGGAGGCAGCAGUGGGGAAUCUUGCACAAUGGGGGCAACCCUGAUGCAGCGACGCCGCGUGAGCGAUGAAGCCCUUCGGGGUGUAAAGCUCUUUCGGCAGGGAAGAUGAUGACGGUACCUGCAGAAGCAGCUGCGGCUAACUACGUGCCAGCAGCCGCGGUAAUACGUAGGCAGCGAGCGUUGUUCGGAGUUACUGGGCGUAAAGGGUGUGUAGGCGGUUCUUUAAGUUUGGUGUGAAAUCUCCCGGCUCAACCGGGAGGGUGCGCCGAAUACUGAGGGACUAGAGUGCGGGAGAGGAAAGUGGAAUUCCUGGUGUAGCGGUGAAAUGCGUAGAUAUCAGGAGGAACACCGGUGGUGUAGACGGCUUUCUGGACCGUAACUGACGCUGAGACACGAAAGCGUGGGUAGCAAACAGGAUUAGAUACCCUAGUAGUCC
rnacentral:rRNA from 1 species